rnacentral:rRNA from 1 species
CCCUUAGACGUUCUGGGCCGCACGCGCGCUACACUGACCAGUGCAACAAGCAUCCGUCCUUGGCCGACAGGCUCGGGCAAUCUUUGAACGCUGGUCGUGAUGGGGAUAGACUUUUGCAAUUUUUGGUCUUCAACGAGGAAUUCCUAGUAAACGCAAGUCAUCAACUUGCAUUGAUUACGUCCCUGCCCUUUGUACACACCGCCCGUCGCACCUACCGAUUGAAUGGUCCGGUGAAGCCUCCGGAUUGGCGCGCAUCUCGGUGCCGCCGAGAAGUUGGCUAAACCUUACCAUUUAGAGGAAGGUGAAGUCGUAACA